rnacentral:lncRNA from 1 species
GCGAUAAUUACAAUUUUACCAUUGCAUCCCAAAAAUCCACAUUAGAAAACCCCUCUUCAGCCGAAAUCAGAAACCCUAGUUUUCACAAUAAAUUGAAAUCGGGGCGGUGCUGGAGAAGAAGAAGAAGAACAAAGCAAGAGAAUCAUGGCGGAGCAUUUGGCUUCUAUAUUUGGUACAGAGAAAGACAGGGUGAAUUGCCCUUUCUACUUUAAGAUCGGUGCGUGUCGGCAUGGUGACCGCUGUUCCAGGCUUCACACAAAGCCUAGCAUCAGUCCGACCUUAGUUCUGUCUAACAUGUACCAGCGUCCUGAUAUGAUCACCCCUGGUGUUGACCCUCAAGGCCAGCCCCUUGACCCUCGCCAGAUCCAGCGCCACUUCGAUAUAUAUAUAUAUAUAUAUGUGUGUAUAUGUAUGUGUUUAUAUGGAUCUAUCUAUGGCGAAGCCAGGAUUUUUAAUUUAUGGUUUCUGAGCGUGAGUAGGAAGGUGGAAGCACAAAAACUAACUCAGAUACGAAGAAAUUGAAGAUUUAGUUACGAUUAGAAAUCAUUCAAUUGUUAUUUAAUUUAAAAUUUUAGAAUGAUGGAAUUGCUAGAUUGUGCAAGCCGAAUUGCUUUUAUCUGUUGCCUAUGGUUGUGGAUGAGUAAGUUGGAAGCACAAAAGCUAGCUCAGGCACUGCUAUCAUUAAAAAAAACAUAUACUUGUGUAUGUGUGAUAUCAGUAGGUUGGAAGCCCCAAAGCUAGCUCAGACACUGCUAUCAUUACAUAAAACAUAUACUUGUGCGUGAACGAUACAGUGUUCCUUCUGCUUCUGUAUGUAUAUAUGGAUUGGGUGAAUACUUGUUUAUUUUUGUUUUUAUGGAUUGACUGUCUAAAGAAGUGCUAUUAUCUGUUGGGUUACUACAUGAUUAUCAGAGUCUUUGGUUACUGGAAUAGAACUUCAAACACUAAUAAACAAAGAAAAGUUGAAGUUUCAAACUAGUUAUCAUGAAGAAAUUUUGUUUUUGAUUAUUGGCUAAUUUUGCUAGGUGCUGUUCUAUUGUCCACUGGGAGGUUGGGAGCAACGUUUUUGUGAAACUAAAGAAAGUUAACUCAUAACUGUGUUGCAUGUUGUGUAGUAUGCACAAGUUUAGCAUUGUCAUUGAAUGGGUUUUACGGAUUUGUUAAAAGUGAACUUGGUGUUGAGACCUCCACGAGGUAGGGGUAAGGUCUUGCGUACACUCUACCCUCCCCAAACCCCACUUGUGGGAUUUCACCGGGAAUACUGUUGUUGUUGAACUUGGUUUUGAGAGCUCGUAUACAGACCGUAGCAUUUUCUGUUUCCAUCUGCUGUAAGAACUUAAAACAAUGAAAAAGCAAAACAGUGUGUUGUUGAAAACGUUAAGCUCUUUUCUUACGUUUGUGUGCUGAUGGGGUUUUGGUGCUGUGAUGUAAUUGCAUGUUUUAAUGGAAUUCGUGUCAAUUUUUAUUCAAAAGACUGUAGUCCUCGUUUUUAGCUUCUGUUUUCUGGCUGUGGUGUCAUCUUUGAGGAAAUCUGAGGUUUGUUUUAUGUAUAGGUAAUUUGUUUAGGUCUGCUUACAUCCUACCUUCACUAGACUCCACUUGUGGGAUUACACUCGGUUCAUUGUUGUUGUUGUUGUUGUUGUAAGUUUCUAAUAGGGAUCCUGUCCUAGUAAAAGUAGGUUGAUUUAUUAUCCUGUGUUUCCUCUGAUUUCGUGGGUAUGAAAUAUGUGUGAUCACCAUUGAACAUGCAGGACUUCUAUGAAGAUUUGUUUGAAGAGCUUAGCAAGUAUGGAG